rnacentral:ncRNA from 2 species
UAUCUUUGGCGGUGCAUGGGUGGCCAAACCCCGAUUGUGGGGCGAGGCUGAAAAGGGAAUGCCGUGAGAUUCGGCGACUGUCCCCGCAACUGUGAGCUUCACCGUACCCUGCGCCGAGCCUCUCUUCGCCACUGUUCCUGCGAAAGCCACCUAGGCUGGAGGAAUGGGAAGGCCGCCCGGCGCCGAAGCAAGUCAGGAGACCUGCCCGUGCAACUUUAGUGUU